CCCUUAGAUGUUCUGGGCCGCACGCGCGCUACACUGAUGCAUUCAACAGGCCUAGCCUUGACCGAGAGGUCCGGGUAAUCUUUGAAACUGCAUCGUGACGGGGCUAGAUUAUUGCAAUUAUUAAUCUUCAACGAGGAAUGCCUAGUAAGCGUGAUUCAUCAAAUCGCGUUGAUUACGUCCCUGCCCUUUGUACACACCGCCCGUCGCUCCUACCGAUUGAAUGUGUUGGUGAGGAGCUCGGAUUGGCAGCAGUUGGUGGUUCGCCACCGGCUAUUGCUGAGAAGUCCUCCAAACCGCCCCAUUUAGAGGAAGGAGAANUCGUAACA
rnacentral:rRNA from 1 species